CUUUGCCAAUGAUGAUGAAAGUUAUCCCUGUCAGAUUAAGACUGGUGACAAUAGGUAAACUGAGGCAAAA